GACGAACGCUGGCGGCGUGCUUAACACAUGCAAGUCGAACGAAGAGCGAUGGAAGCUUGCUUCUCUCAAUCUUAGUGGCGAACGGGUGAGUAACGCGUAAUCAACCUGCCCUUCAGAGGGGGACAACAGUUGGAAACGACUGCUAAUACCGCAUACGAUCUAACCUCGGCAUCGAGGAAAGAUGAAAGGUGGCCUCUAUGUAUAAGCUAUCACUGAAGGAGGGGAUUGCGUCUGAUUAGCUAGUUGGAGGGGUAACGGCCCACCAAGGCGAUGAUCAGUAGCCGGUCUGAGAGGAUGAACGGCCACAUUGGGACUGAGACACGGCCCAGACUCCUACGGGAGGCAGCAGUGGGGAAUCUUCCGCAAUGGACGAAAGUCUGACGGAGCAACGCCGCGUGAGUGAUGACGGCCUUCGGGUUGUAAAGCUCUGUUAAUCGGGACGAAAGGCCUUCUUGCGAAUAGUGAGAAGGAUUGACGGUACCGGAAUAGAAAGCCACGGCUAACUACGUG
rnacentral:rRNA from 1 species